ensembl:ncRNA lncRNA:Yu long non-coding RNA:Yu
AAUAAUAUUUCAGUGGGGGCUUUUGCGGCACUCGGAAAACAUCUUUCUGAAAGCGGGCAGGGAGCUUGGUGGCUGGGUAUUCCCACUGGGCUCCACUGGUGGAUAGAUGUGGUGGAGCCUGCGGCGAUACAAUCAAAUACCCGACCAUUCUUGAAAACACACUGGCGGAAGAAUGGAAACACAGCUGCACCAGGAACAGAGUUUCCAAUCGGGUGCAGACACUUUGUUUACAAGAACAGCAAUCGGAUUUGUUUGCCCACGCGGACCGACGUGUUCCGUCUGAAAUUGGAUAAAUACGUGGAAAAUGAGACGGCGAGCUGUCUUUCUGUAUUUCGAUGGGGUCUCUAGAAAUUACUAUGAAUAAGUAAUGGCGGAUGCGGACAACAGGUGGCAAAGAAUCCACAAGGUCCCGCCAGAGAAAAGGAAUCCGAGUCCAGCCACAUUGCCAUCUCGAUUGUAAUGUAAAACAAAACGCUCGCAUCCUGCGCUUUUUCAUUUUCCCGCGUUUUCCACCCACCAGACAUUCUCAUUAUACGGUCCGCCAGUUUAAAACUCAAUAAAAGCUGCAGUAUGAAUGAUUACUUAAU